GGGCACUCUAAGGAGACUGCCGGUGACAAACCGGAGGAAGGUGGGGAUGACGUCAAGUCAUCAUGGCCCUUACGGCCUGGGCUACACACGUGCUACAAUGGUCGGUACARAGGGUUGCCAAGCCGCGAGGUGGAGCUAAUCCCAUAAAACCGAUCGUAGUCCGGAUCGCAGUCUGCAACUCGACUGCGUGAAGUCGGAAUCGCUAGUAAUCGCGAAUCAGAAUGUCGCGGUGAAUACGUUCCCGGGCCUUGUACACACCG
rnacentral:rRNA from 1 species